CCUACGGGUGGCAGCAGUGAGGAAUAUUGGUCAAUGGGCGCGAGCCUGAACCAGCCAAGUAGCGUGAAGGAUGACUGCCCUAUGGGUUGUAAACUUCUUUUAUAAAGGAAUAAAGUGAGGCACGUGUGCCUUUUUGUAUGUACUUUAUGAAUAAGGAUCGGCUAACUCCGUGCCAGCAGCCGCGGUAAUACGGAGGAUCCGAGCGUUAUCCGGAUUUAUUGGGUUUAAAGGGAGCGUAGAUGGGUUGGUAAGUCAGUUGUGAAAGUUUGUGGCUCAACCGUAAAAUUGCAAUUGAUACUGGCAGACUUGAGUACAGUUGAGGUAGGCGGAAUUCGUGGUGUAGCGGUGAAAUGCUUAGAUAUCACGAAGAACUCCGAUUGCGAAGGCAGCUUACUAAACUGACACUGACAUUGAUGCACGAAAGUGUGGGUAUCAAACAGGAUUAGAUACCCCUGUAGUC
rnacentral:rRNA from 1 species